GACGAACCGUGCGAACGUUGUUCGGAAUCACUGGGCUUAAAGGGCGCGUAGGCGGGCUGCCAAGUCCGGGGUGAAAUCUUUCGGCUCAACCGGAAAAUAGCCUCGGAGACUGGCGGUCUGGAGUGAGGUAGGGGCAGCUGGAACUUCCGGUGGAGCGGUGAAAUGCGUAGAGAUCGGGAAGAACAUCGGUGGCGAAAGCGCUCUGCUGGACUGCAACUGACACUCAGGGACGAAAGCUAGGGGAGCGAAUGGG
rnacentral:rRNA from 1 species